rnacentral:rRNA from 1 species
AGAGCGAACGCUGGCGGCAGGCCUAACACAUGCAAGUCGAGCGCCCCGCAAGGGGAGCGGCAGACGGGAGAGUAACACGUGGGAACGUACCCUUUGGUUCGGAACAACACAGGGAAACUUGUGCUAAUACCGGAUAAGCCCUUACGGGGAAAGAUUUAUUGCCAAAGGAUCGGCCCGCGUCUGAUUAGCUUGUUGGUGAGGUAACGGCUCACCAAGGCUACGAUCAGUAGCUGGUCUGAGAGGAUGAUCAGCCUCACUGGGACUGAGACACGGCCCAGACUCCUACGGGAGGCAGCAGUGGGGAAUAUUGGACAAUGGGCGCAAGCCUGAUCCAGCCAUGCCGCGUGGAUGAUGAAGGCCCUAGGGGUUGUAAAAGUCCUUUCGACGGGGAAGAUAAUGACGGUACCCGUAGAAGAAGCCCCGGCUAACUUCGUGCCAGCAGCCGC